rnacentral:rRNA from 1 species
GACGAACGCUGGCGGCGUGCUUAACACAUGCAAGUCGAACGGAAAGGCCCUGCUUUUGUGGGGUGCUCGAGUGGCGAACGGGUGAGUAACACGUGAGUAACCUGCCCUUGACUUUGGGAUAACUUCAGGAAACUGGGGCUAAUACCGGAUAGGAGCUCCUGCUGCAUGGUGGGGGUUGGAAAGUUUCGGCGGUUGGGGAUGGACUCGCGGCUUAUCAGCUUGUUGGUGGGGUAGUGGCUUACCAAGGCUUUGACGGGUAGCCGGCCUGAGAGGGUGACCGGCCACAUUGGGACUGAGAUACGGCCCAGACUCCUACGGGAGGCAGCAGUGGGGAAUAUUGCACAAUGGGCGGAAGCCUGAUGCAGCAACGCCGCGUGCGGGAUGACGGCCUUCGGGUUGUAAACCGCUUUCGCCUGUGACGAAGCGUGAGUGACGGUAAUGGGUAAAGAAGCACCGGCUAACUACGUGCCAGCAGCCGCGGUGAUACGUAGGGUGCGAGCGUUGUCCGGAUUUAUUGGGCGUAAAGGGCUCGUAGGUGGUUGAUCGCGUCGGAAGUGUAAUCUUGGGGCUUAACCCUGAGCGUGCUUUCGAUACGGGUUGACUUGAGGAAGGUAGGGGAGAAUGGAAUUCCUGGUGGAGCGGUGGAAUGCGCAGAUAUCAGGAGGAACACCAGUGGCGAAGGCGGUUCUCUGGGCCUUUCCUGACGCUGAGGAGCGAAAGCGUGGGGAGCGAACAGGCUUAGAUACCCUGGUAGUCCACGCUGUAAACGGUGGGUACUAGGUGUGGGGUCCAUUCCACGGGUUCCGUGCCGUAGCUAACGCUUUAAGUACCCCGCCUGGGGAGUACGGCCGCAAGGCUAAAACUCAAAGGAAUUGACGGGGCCCCGCACAAGCGGCGGAGCAUGCGGAUUAAUUCGAUGCAACGCGUAGAACCUUACCUGGGUUUGACAUGGAUCGGGAGUGCUCAGAGAUGGGUGUGCCUCCUUUGGGGUCGGUUCACAGGUGGUGCAUGCCUGUCGUCAGCUCGUGUCGUGAGAUGUUGGGUUAAGUCCCGCAACGAGCGCAACCCUUGUUCACUGUUGCCAGCACGUUAUGGUGGGGACUCAGUGGAGACCGCCGGGGUCAACUCGGAGGAAGGUGGGGAUGACGUCAAGUCAUCAUGCCCCUUAUGUCCAGGGCUUCACGCAUGCUACAAUGGCUGGUACAGAGAGUGGCGAGCCUGUGAGGGUGAGCGAAUCUCGGAAAGCCGGUCUCAGUUCGGAUUGGGGUCUGCAACUCGACCUCAUGAAGUCGGAGUCGCUAGUAAUCGCAGAUCAGCAACGCUGCGGUGAAUACGUUCCCGGG